rnacentral:lncRNA from 1 species
CUGUGCCUGCGUGGAGUUGGACUCCAGCCAAGAGGGGAGAGGCGUCCCACCUGAUUUAAGUGGCCUGCUCUGUCUGGGAAUCCCGGCUCCCUGCAGAGGCCAUAGACAAACCUGAGACUGUUAUUCAGGAGGCAGUGGAGGUGACACAGGGAGAAAAGCAGGCACCGUGGCAACCAGGCAACCUCAUGUACGAGCCAAGGAGAAGAAGCAGCAGACACCAAUGCAGGA